GAUGAACGCUGGCGGCGUGCCUAAUACAUGCAAGUCGAGCGAACAGACGAUGAGCUUGCUCCUCUGACGGUAGCGGCGGACGGGUGAGUAACACGUGGAUAACCUUCCUAUAAGACUGGGAUAACUUCGGGAAACCGGAGCUAAUACCGGAUAACAUGUUGAACCGCAUGGUUCAACAGUGAAAGACGGCUUUGCUGUCACUUAUAGAUGGUUCCGCGUCGCAUUAGCUAGUUGGUAAGGUAACGGCUUACCAAGGCAACGAUGCGUAGCCGACCUGAGAGGGUGAUCGGCCACACUGGAACUGAGACACGGUCCAGACUCCUACGGGAGGCAGCAGUAGGGAAUCUUGCGCAAUGGGCGAAAGCCUGACGGAGCAACGCCGCGUGAGUGAAGAAGGUCUUCGGAUCGUAAAACUCUGUUAUUAGGGAAGAACAAAUGUGUAAGUAACUAUGCACGUCUUGACGGUACCUAAUCAGAAAGCCACGGCUAACUACGUG
rnacentral:rRNA from 1 species